rnacentral:lncRNA from 1 species
GGGGAAUCAAUAUAUUUAGUAAUGCUCACCCCACCUGGCCUCAUCAGCAUCUUCCCCACGAUUAUCUCUUUUAGUGUUGUUUGCUCACCACAAGCUGUAAUAUUGAUACAUAUGAAUUAUGACUGAGCAUCUAUUAUAUGCAAGACUCUUACAUUUGCAAAACAAAUUUGGGAGCAUUCUUCUCCCUACAAUCUUAGAAUCAAGUGUAUAAAAUAUACAUAUACAUAAAUGUAUAAAUAAAUAAAUAUAAUACAAGGUGGAAAGUGAUGAAGGUCAUGUGGGAGGUUGGAACCUAGUGAUAUAGAGAUUCAAAGGG